AUUAAAAAUAAAAAGUUUAUAAAGAAAAAAUGUUAUAGUAAACUAAGAUUAAUUUAUUAUUGAAGAAAGAAAAAUUUCUAAAUAAAUUUAAUGUUGACUCCAUGUACAGUAUUUAUAAAGUAGACAGUAAUGCCUGGGCCUUCAUAUUUACUCACCACUCAUUCAAUGUCUCACCCACAGCAACCUCCAGUCCUGCAAGCUUCAUUCCUGGUAAGUAUCCUAUACAGGUGUAUCGUAUUUUUUAUACCAUAUUUUUACUGUACCUUUUCUAGAUUUAGAUAUUUUUAGAUGUACAAAUACUCACAAUUGUAUUAUAAUUGCCUACAGUAUUUAAUACUGUAGUCUGCUGUACAAAUUUGUAGCUUAGGAGCAAUAGGCUAUGCUGUAUAGCUUAGGUGUGUAAUAGGCUCUCCUAUCUAGUUUGUGUAAUUUUACUCUACAGUGACAAAAUCGCCAAAGAAGACAUCUAUCAGAACAUAUUCCCGUCAUUAAGCAACACAUGGCUAUAUUAUGAUUUUUUGUUAUAGAAUUCUCAAAUAUAUUAUUGUACCAUGAUUUCUUCCUAAAAUAUGAAAUGAUAUUUAAUGUCUUCCCUCAAUAAAAGACAAAGAACUAUACUGAGAAACCAUCUUCUUCCACCUUCCCUUCACAAAUUUUAUGACUCUAUGGCACAAAGAGGCACUACAGAAAAUCCCAGAAUUUAUUCCGACUGAAGCAAUAUGCAACUGGCAAAACUGGCAGCUGAAAGGAUCCUGAAUCAGAAGGAUUUUAAAUGCCGUUUUGGCACAGGAUGUCAGAGCACAAGCAUGGUGAAGAGGAAUCUGUGUCAGGAAGAAGGUGGAAGAGAUACGACAUUGGUCAAACAGAGAAUUGAUAAAAUAAGAAAACAAGUUGAAAAAAUAAAACAAAACCAGGUGCCAAAUUUCUCAAAGCCAGAGAAUGGAUUAAAAAUAUGGAAUGGAAAUAAACAAGUAUGAAGCCUGAUGAUUAAACUGGAUGUAUCAGUAAUGAAAUCAUGGAAUCUAAAAAAAAUCAAUAUAAAUGUGUAUGUAUGCAUAUAUGGAGAGAGAGAGACAGAGAAACAGACAGACAGAGGGAGAGGCCAAGCAACUGGUACAAGUGAUACCCUAAUCGCAAUGAGGACACUGAACCCCCAGAUCUUGGUUCUCAAUAACAUGCUCCAUUGAAAAGCAUGAGGCCUGAUUCUGGAGCUGGUGCAGAAAAAUUACAAGAUGAUCCUGGAAUAUAUAUUGUUAAAAAUUAAGACAAUGUUGAAAGGAUAAUAAGGUCAUCCUGAAAGAUUAAAUUGUUGUCAGUUUGAGAUUUUAAAUAAUUAAUGGCAAAAUGGAUUACUACUCAUUGAAUCAAAGAGAAAAACGUGAGCCCAUAUUGUUAUAAAUAAGUAAAUGCAUAUAUUGAAAGCUUAAUUAGAAACAUAGUUUCAAAAUAAACUCCCCUAAAAUACCUAAGAAUGGUAAAUUUGUAGAGUGUUUCUUUCUUUAUAGUAGAGGAGCCAAGCAUGCUUUACCUUAAUCAAGUGAUCAGUGUGAAUAUCAUCAGGACAAAUCAAAAACAUGCAUCACCUGAGAGCUUGUAAAGAGAGCACAGCAUCUCUUUGUGAUAUUUUCACUAAACGUGCAUACCUUGCGUCUAACCAUGAGAAAGGAGCAGACAAAUACAAAUUGAG
ensembl:lincRNA